rnacentral:lncRNA from 1 species
AAAAAAAAGGAUAAAAACCAGAUCCAGAUCUGGUUUCCUCUCUCGUUCUCUUCCUCUCGUCACAUGGCAAACACACAGAGAAACUCAUUCCAUUGUCAUUUCGUCUUCCUCUCAGGUUAUUCCAGGGUGGGUUAAGACAUCUAGAUACUAGCCAACAUAAACCCUAACUUUCUCUUCCGGUGGAUUGAAGAACUGGUUCCCUUGGCUGCGUUUGAGUGUUCGCAGGCACGAGGAACGAACCUAAGAAGCUCAAAUUGCUUGGUCUUGAUUUGUCUAUUUCUUUCUGUUUUUUGAUGCUCGCAAAUGGCCUACUAUGGAACCUUGAAAAUUGAUCUUCAACAUUGGAGCUUUUGAAGCCAUUGUCUCUCAGUUUCGGUAUCACACACUUUCUUAGAUCUUCAUGUUAUGCCAAGCUGAGGUUGCAUGAUAAAAAUGAAGGGUGUUUGGUAUAUUCACAGAGAAAGCAUCUUUGGCUGCACCACCACAGAUAUUUCAUAAGGAGCCAUUCUUCUAUGGACAUGAUAACUACGAUCAGCUAGUGAAACUGGCAAAGCAAUCAAUAGUUUAGUUGAUUUCCUAUGAGUGGAAUACUUUAUCAAAGGCCUUGUUGAUUUCUGAAGGCAUAGCAAUAAGCAGCUAGUGAACUACUCACACUUGCUGAAUGCUCACUCAAAAAUUAAAAAAGUAUCUAAGAGUUCAAGUGAAAUAUUUAAUUUAUAGGAGGCUUGCAACAACACUAGAGUAAUUGGUACGUGAACUACAUAGAUCGAAGAAGAUUCCUGCAAAGUUUAUCUUGAAGUAGAGGAAAAUAACUAACUUAUAAAAUUUAAUUAUCUAGUAAACUUUGUUAGAACUUUCAUUCCUUUUGUAGCAUUCAUGAGGAAAAUUAAAAUGUAACAUUUUCUUUUAUAUUAGCUUCAUUCCUUUUUGUAUAUAGCUUU